AUUGAACGCUGGCGGCGUGCUUAACACAUGCAAGUCGAUCGGUAACAGGUGUAGCAAUACAUGCUGACGAGAGGCGGACGGGUGAGUAAUGCUUGGGAAUCUGCCUAUUAGUGGGGGGACAACCCGGGGAAACUCGGGCUAAUACCGCAUACGCUCUACGGAGGAAAGCCGGGGACCGCAAGGCCUGGCGCUAAUAGAUGAGCCCAAGUCGGAUUAGCUAGUUGGUAGGGUAACGGCCUACCAAGGCGACAAUCCGUAGCUGGUCUGAGAGGACGACCAGCCACACCGGAACUGAGACACGGUCCGGACUCCUACGGGAGGCAGCAGUGGGGAAUAUUGGACAAUGGGGGCAACCCUGAUCC
rnacentral:rRNA from 1 species